rnacentral:rRNA from 1 species
AUGAACGCUGGCGGCGUGCCUAAUACCUGCAAGUCGCGCGAACAGACGAGGAGCUUGCUCCUCUGACGUUAGCGGCGGACGGGUGAGUAACACGUGGAUAACCUACCUAUAAGACUGGGAUAACUUCGGGAAACCGGAGCUAAUACCGGAUAAUAUAUUGAACCGCAUGGUUCAAUAGUGAAAGACGGUUUUGCUGUCACUUAUAGAUGGAUCCGCGCCGCAUUAGCUAGUUGGUAAGGUAACGGCUUACCAAGGCAACGAUGCGUAGCCGACCUGAGAGGGUGAUCGGCCACACUGGAACUGAGACACGGUCCAGACUCCUACGGGAGGCAGCAGUAGGGAAUCUUCCGCAAUGGGCGAAAGCCUGACGGAGCAACGCCGCGUGAGUGAUGAUGGUCUUCGGAUCGUAAAACUCUGUUAUUAGGGAAGAACAAAUGUGUAAGUAACUAUGCACGUCUUGACGGUACCUAAUCAGAAAGCCACGGCUAACUACGUG